AGGCCUGAGCACAAUGCACAGCUGCAGUGCAGGAGAGGACUCCAGGCUAGAAGUUCCAAUCUGAUGCUAAUCACAAAAUCCUCGAGACUGUGAGACGUCCGUGCUCACCUCCCUCCUGCUGGCAAGAAAGGAACACAGGCUGCAGAGGAGCUGCAGAGGAGUGGGGCUGGUAGGAUGGAUGUGGCCCAACAAACCUUGUUCUCUGUCAGCAUCCUGCAUUUUUGAAGCAGAGGCCAUGAACAUUGGCCUUUUGUGUGUUCUCUGGAAAUGGCUGCCGUGAGACUCCCAGUUCAUCACAGCGUGAGCCGGUCACAAGCGUAGACUUGGUGCACAGCAUGAGCUCCUGCACGAUGAACCUCAUUUCUGCAAACCCCUAUAAAUGUUUGGUUAUGCAUUUUGAAAGUGACACUCCAGCUGGGACACUGCAUGCAAAUAUCAAAUUGCUUCUUAGAGUGAGUUAUGAAAAAUUGGACAGAAAAAACAGCAGACUG